rnacentral:rRNA from 1 species
GACGAACGCUGGCGGCGCGCUUAACACAUGCAAGUCGAACGGAAAGGCCUGCUUUCCCUUGUGGAUUGCGGGUACUCGAGUGGCUAACGGGUGAGUAACACGUGAGUGAUCUGCCCCCAACUUGGGUAUAAGCCUGGGAAACUGGGUCUAAUUCCCGAUAGGACUGCAGGGUGGUGCCUGUGGUGGAACACGAUUUUCUAGUGGUUGGGGAUGAGCUCGCGGCCUAUCAGCUUGUUGGUGGGGUAAUGGCCUACCAAGGCGGCGACGGGUAGCCGGCUGGAGACGGUGCACCGCAACAUUGGGACUGCGAUACGACCCAGACGCCUACGGCAGGCAGCAGCGGGGAAUAUUGCACAAUGGGCGCAAGCUUGAUGCAGCGACGCCGCGUCUGGGAUGUCGGACUUGGGGUUGUAAACUGCUUUCGACGGGGAGGAAGCCGCGUGGGUGUAAGGGCGGGGAGGGGAGUGGUAGAAGAAGCACCGGCUAGCUACGUG